rnacentral:misc_RNA from 1 species
GUUUUUAGAAAGAAAGGGUCUUACAAAGGAAGAGAUUGAUGAAGCAUUCAGGCGUGUGCCCGACCCGCCUUCUAAUGCUCAGACUGCUACUGUGAGUCAAGAUGGACAGGUGAACACAGUUCAACCACAACCCUCGACACAAUCUCUUCAACCAGUUGCUGCUGCCACUCCUCUUGCUGGUGGUGAAUCUCGUGUGGGUACUGUUGCACGGUCUAGAUUCCAUUGGUCACAUGCCAUUCUCGCAAUAGGUGUACUGGCCGUUUCAGGUGCUGG